ensembl:lncRNA
UUUUUUAAUUAGAGGAGAGCAACAAUCCCAGUGUAAGGUGCAUGGGGAGCUGCUCGGCUUCCUGGUGGCCUGCUGGACAGACCUCCAGGGAGAUAACUGCGACUAGAACCCACACAGCAGGGUGGCUGUCGUACAGCGAUCUGAAGAAAUGAGGUGCUGUUCAGGAGGAAGCAAAAUGGUUGACCUGUAGCUGCAUCUGUAGCUCUCUCCAUCUUUGCCUGUCCCUGCUGAGAGAUGACUGCCAAGGAACAAGAACUGCAUUGUGGGUGCUAGAAAAAAAGCUGCUAAGGAAGGAGCAGUAAAAAAAGACAGCAUUAGGAAGGAGAAACAAGAAAAAGGUCCCUCUCCUCAAGACGUAAGAUGAGACCACCAAUGCAGAAAUGGAUUUUGUUAUUCAUGGUGUAAUAGACAAUAUUGGCACACAAACAACGCCUAAAAGCUUUCCUAACUAGCUAUAUGAGUAACUAUAUGAGAAUGAUUCUUCACUUUGUAGUCGGACCUCAAAGAUGCCAAUGGAUACUUGGACAUAGCUGGAAGUGCACUUCAGAAACACCUAUAAUAUCAGAGCACAGCAAUUACGAUGUGUUGUAUGCCUUUUCCCCAGACUGCACUCGUCUUGCAUCUUUUAAACACAGGACAAGGACUGCCUCUAGUGACAUGUUUACAUAGUCGUAGUACAGUGUUGCUGGGACUGCUAAAUACUCCUGUAAUGGAAACUCUGGCAUGUCUCAGGAAGAAGAUGCCUGCGUGCGUACACCACUGAAGCAAAAACUAAAAGUCAGUGCGAAAGCAAAGGAAAUGGAGAAUGCGAAUGCCUUCUGUGCUGCCAGCCUGAUAUGAGGGAAGUUCCUCAGCUCCUGCUGUAUGAACUGUUCUCUUCUCUUUGAUGUUACAUCUGCCCUCAUGUCUCACAACAAUCACAAGUUUUUAGAGGAUGUGGAACUACUUUGUUCCCCCUCUGUUAAGUCUAACUAUAAAAACACAAGUCCAAACUGCUAGCAGUUCAAUCAAACUGAAAGACAGUAAAUUCAAAUCUUGUAAAAGAAAAUCACUUCAUAUAUGGCGUGCAUAAAAAAGACUGCCACAGACUAUCACCGAGGCCAAGGUUGUAAGGAGGAAUAAGAUAUUUUCGAAGAUUAGAAGAAUAUGUGUAGUUAACACAAGAAAGGAGAAUUGUAGCAGGCAUACAAAUGCUUCUUCAGCUUAAACAGUCCAGUAGUGAUGAAUGAGACCUUUUGGGGGAAUAUUUCCUCUGCAGUAGCUAGUGUUGGUCACUGUCAGACAGGAGUCUCUAGACCAUAAAUCCGAUCAAAUAUAGCAAUUUCUGUAUUGCCCAGUUAUGUGAUAGUCUGCUGACUUCAAAGUGCAUGAGGAAUUUGGUCUAAAGCGCAUCAUCCAUUUUCUCUAUAGAGGAAGUGCAUUUGUUCUGCGGUGGUGUGAAAAAUUGCCCAGUAGUCUCAAAAAACCAAUGGUAGGUGGGCAGCUGGUUUACAGGCUGGUCUGGUAGAGGUGGGUAAUGUGGUGUCAGUGUACAAGACUCUGCGCUUGCUGCUGUGCUGUCGUGGGCCUGGAAGGAUCACAGGUUUUGAAAUACACGCACCUACUGCUCUUUUUUUUUUGAUUCUCCGCUCAAAACCCAUGCAAACUUCCUCUCCCAUCCUG